rnacentral:rRNA from 1 species
CCUACGGGUGGCAGCAGUGAGGAAUAUUGGUCAAUGGGCGCAAGCCUGAACCAGCCAAGUAGCGUGCAGGAUGACGGCCCUACGGGUUGUAAACUGCUUUUAUACGGGAAUAACGCGCCUUACGUAUAUUGCUUUGCAUGUACCGUAUGAAUAAGGACCGGCUAAUUCCGUGCCAGCAGCCGCGGUAAUACGGAAGGUCCGGGCGUUAUCCGGAUUUAUGGGGUUUAAAGGGAGCGUAGGCCGCAUGUCAAGCGUGCUGUGAAAUGUACUGGCUCAACCCGGGCAUUGCAGCGCGAACUGGCGUGCUUGAGUGCGCGGAAAGUAGGCGGAAUUCGUGGUGUAGCGGUGAAAUGCUUAGAUAUGACGAAGAACUCCGAUUGCGAAGGCAGCCUGCUGCAGCGGAACUGACGCUGAUGCUCGAAAGCGCGGGUAUCGAACAGGAUUAGAUACCCCAGUAGUC